rnacentral:tRNA from 1 species
CUCCAGAUGGCCGAGUGGUUAUGGCGUGUGACUCAAGCGUUUUCGCUUCUCAGUACAACUGGGUUUCUCAUGGGCUUUGCCCGCGGGGGUUCGAAUCCCCCUCUUGUCA